GGUCAGUGGUGAGCGUUGGUAUGUAUGAUCUGCUCUGCAGUUGAUAUUUAUCACCACUUUCAUUCUAGAAUUACUCUGAGAACCA